rnacentral:rRNA from 1 species
GAUGAACGCUGGCGGCGUGCCUAAUACAUGCAAGUCGAGCGAACAGACGAGGAGCUUGCUCCUCUGACGUUAGCGGCGGACGGGUGAGUAACACGUGGAUAACCUACCUAUAAGACUGGGAUAACUUCGGGAAACCGGAGCUAAUACCGGAUAAUAUAUUGAACCGCAUGGUUCAAUAGUGAAAGACGGUUUUGCUGUCACUUAUAGAUGGAUCCGCGCCGCAUUAGCUAGUUGGUAAGGUAACGGCUUACCAAGGCAACGAUGCGUAGCCGACCUGAGAGGGUGAUCGGCCACACUGGAACUGAGACACGGUCCAGACUCCUACGGGAGGCAGCAGUAGGGAAUCUUCCGCAAUGGGCGAAAGCCUGACGGAGCCACGCCGCGUGAGUGAUGAAGGUCUUCGGAUCGUAAAACUCUGUUAUUAGGGAAGAACAAAUGUGUAAGUAACUAUGGACGUCUUGACGGUACCUAAUCAGAAAGCAACGGCUAACUACGUG